rnacentral:rRNA from 1 species
AUGGUGCAUGCAUUAACUGCAACCGCUGCUUAUCCUGUUUGGGUCAAGGAAGUCAUAGGAAGCUAUCAUCAGGAUAGUAAGAUCAAAGAGCUCAUAGUUGAGUGUAUUGUGGAUAAAUCUAAUAGCACUGCUUAUUCAUUCAAGAAUGGCAUUUUGAGAUUUCAUAACAAGAUUGUGGUGGGAUCUGCUACUAACCUAAGACAGGAAAUCCUCCAAACAUUCCAUAGUUCAGAGUUGGGUGGCCAUUCUGGGGAAAGAGCUACUUAUCAGAGAGUGAAAUUAAUAUUUCACUGGCAGGGUUUAAAGCAAGAUGAAGUGCAGUUUGUCAAGCAGUGUCCUGUUUGCCAGUUGAACAAAGCUGAGCACACUCCUUACCCUGGAUUGCUGGAGCCACUUCCUGUGCCUGAUUUUGCUUGGGCACAUGUAAGCACGGAUUUUGUGGAGGGGUUACCUACAUCUGAACACAAGAACUUAAUUUUGGUAGUGGUUGACAGAUUCACCAAAUAUUCUCAUUUUGUUGCUAUGAAACAUCCCAUUACAGUGCAAUUUGUUGCAAGAGCAUUUUCUGAUAAUGUGUUCGGGUUACUUGGGAUGCCAUUAGUGAUUGUCACUGACAGAGACAGAAUUUUUACUAGUCAUCUGUGGCAGCAACUGUUCAAGUCAUUAAAGAUCAAGUUACACUUGAGCACCAGUUACCACCCUCAAACUGAUGGUCAAACAGAGAGAGUUAAUCAGUGUUUGGAGAAGUACUUGAGAUGUAUGUGUUUCCAGCAACCAAGGAAGUGGCAUGGGUGGUUGGCACUUGCUGAGUGGUGGUACAACACUUCCUUCCACACAUCAUUAAAAAUGACACACUUUCAAGCUCUAUAUGGUUUUCCUCCCCCUAUGAUUGUUGAAUCAGCUCUGCCAGAUGCCAUUUGUGUUGAUAAUGGGGAUCUGUUACAUAACAGAGAAUUGGCACUGGAAGUAAUCAAGCAAAAUCUGCUUAAAGCACAGUCUAGAAUGAAAUUCUUUGCUGAUAAGAAGAGGGAGGAAAGAGAAUUUGUAGUGGGGGACAUGGGUCUAUUUGAAGUUGCAACCCUACAGGCACACUUCUCUCAGUUUGCAUAG